rnacentral:tRNA from 1 species
GGAGGGGUCGCGUAGCCUGGUAGCGCGCCCGCCUGGAGAGCGGGUAAGCGGUCACAAGCCGCUUCGCGGGUUCAAAUCCCGCCCCCUCCG